rnacentral:rRNA from 1 species
AGAGUUUGAUCCUGGCUCAGGACGAACGCUGGCGGCGUGCUUAACACAUGCAAGUCGAACGAUGAAGCCCUUCGGGGUGGAUUAGUGGCGAACGGGUGAGUAACACGUGGGCAAUCUGCCCUUCACUCUGGGACAAGCCCUGGAAACGGGGUCUAAUACCGGAUAACACUCCUGCCUGCAUGGGCGGGGGUUAAAAGCUCCGGCGGUGAAGGAUGAGCCCGCGGCCUAUCAGCUUGUUGGUGGGGUAAUGGCCCACCAAGGCGACGACGGGUAGCCGGCCUGAGAGGGCGACCGGCCACACUGGGACUGAGACACGGCCCAGACUCCUACGGGAGGCAGCAGUGGGGAAUAUUGCACAAUGGGCGAAAGCCUGAUGCAGCGACGCCGCGUGAGGGAUGACGGCCUUCGGGUUGUAAACCUCUUUCAGCAGGGAAGAAGCGAAAG